rnacentral:lncRNA from 10 species
CCCACCACUUGCUCAUUGUGGUUAUGGUGGACCUUGCUUUUUCCUGUCCUGUGCAUCACCUUAGACAAUUGGGAAAUUACUUUUAAUUCAGAGAUGGCCUCAGUUAUGGAUUUACAGCAUUGCAACUAUGUAACAUUGUAACAUUGUGACUAAGUAAUUUUAACAAUGUAGCUACAGCAUUGCCCUGCUUUACCGCGGAGACAGCGCCACCUAAUGGUUAAACAAGUGCCCAGCCGUUCCUUACCAAAAGGCAACUCGUUAAUUGUGGAGAGGACGGUAAAAUCAUAGCAAUAUAUCUUCCCCGCCUCCACACAAUACAGUAGAAAUCAAUAGUUAUUUGAGCACUUCUCCAUCAUAAUCCAACCAUCAAUAAGUCUUUGGGUAAGAUUGUGUUGUUACAAAGCAUUUGCCCACCAAUGACAUUUUAUAUCCCCAGACACAAUUAUAAAGGCGAAGAUGUUCCAUCAACAAGCACGCCUGAUUUAAUAGCAUUUCUUGCCCACUGUUACUCAAAGCAGCCUGAAUGCAGGAGCUCUCAAAUGCUUCCCUGCGGCAUAAACCACCCUGAGAUGGGUGUAGGAAAUACACUAAUGAGACGCCUGAGUGUUCACAAUGCUUCCACACACUAGGAGAAUUGGUCUUUAUUGGUGGCCUCUGGAUGUUGGGAAUAAUGAAACACUAUGACCAGGGUUUUCUAGCAGUGUUGAGAGGUGAGAUUUCCAGGCUAACCCAGAAUCUUGGCCUUUCAAGAGCUAGUCGAUGUAGGUGACCACAUCCAGGCACACACCCUUUCUCUUCCAUGCAUGCAUUACCAACUGGAGAGGAUGUCGUGGGGGCUGUAUUCCGGUCCCCUGUAUUAGCCAGUCUAGUGCAGCCAUCUCCCAGCUGCUGUGAGUGUUGGCUGCUAUCAGCUCACAGUCGCCCCUCUUCUCUGAAGAUUUUUCCUUGUGCAAGAUCUUCCUUGCUCUGUUAGUUCUGCCCUCUCUCCCGCAGCCCACAGCCAAUGACUGACUGACAUGGGGGUACAAAGGGCCAGCCCUUUUGCCUUAAAGUGGGACCAGCUCUGUGGUGCAGUUCCUGCUUCGGAGCUAAGUUGGACUCCAGCUAAGACCACAUCUUUGCUCAGUUCCUUCCCCUGCCCCCUCCUACUUCACUCAUCUGUCUUCUGCUGAGUUACCCUCAAUAAAUCCCCUGUACCCAAAUCCUCUCUCCGUCUCUCCUUUCAAGGGACUUAACCUAAUACUGUGAACUUCAAAGAAAUCACUCAAACACACUUCACAGGAACACUUUUCGAAGAUAUUUUUGUUGUUCUUUGAUGAUUCAGAAGAUACCCCUAGACUGUGCAGUGUCACUGGGCUCUUAUUAUGACCAU